CUCAUUCUUUCAUUCUCGUCCUUGGAUUGGCCGCGAGACAUUUAUCCACUCGCUUUAGGCCUGCGCGUUGCAAGACGGGAGAAAAGGGGGGGCGUCCGCAGGCAAGAUGGAGCCGACUGUGGCCGGUGUGGGCCGGCUAGAGGAAGAGGCACUGCGGCGAAAGGAACGGCUGAAGGCCCUACGGGAGAAAACCGGGCGCAAGGACAAGGAAGAUGGGGAGCCAAAGACCAAGCAACUUAGAGAAGAGGAGGAAGAAGGCGAGAAGCACAGGGAACUUAGACUGCGGAACUAUGUCCCGGAGGAUGAGGACCUGAAGAAGAGGAGGGUGCCCCAGGCCAAACCGGUUGCAGUGGAAGAGAAGGUGAAGGAGCAGUUGGAGGCCGCCAAGCCCGAGCCUGUCAUCGAGGAGGUGGUGAGUGCCUGGGCUGCCCUGGCCUCCUUGCUGCUUCUGUGUGUCCUGUUUCUCUUCCCCACCUGCUCUCCCUCUGCCUGCUUCCUUCUUGUCACUUCUUUAUUCCCUUGCCACCUGCCUCUUUGUCCUUGUCCCUCUCCUUCCUCCUCCUCUUUCUCCCAUUUCUCUCCCUCUCUAGCCUGCCCUCCUCCUUCCCCUGGGGCAGCCUCUCCAUCCUGAUGUGUGUCUCCUCCCUCUUCAGGAUCUGGCCAACCUCGCUCCUCGGAAGCCUGACUGGGACCUCAAGAGAGAUGUGGCCAAGAAGCUGGAGAAACUAAAAAAGAGGACUCAGAGGGCCAUCGCCGAGCUGAUCCGUGAAAGACUGAAAGGUCAGGAAGACAGCCUAGCCUCUGCAGUGGACGCUGCCACCGAACAGAAGGCCUGUGACUCCGAUUGAGGCAUGCCCUGCCCUGCCACGUGCCUGUCAGGCCUGUCCUGCAGGGGGUGUUCUUGGGCAGGGAUCGGGGUGAGGCUUGCCAUCGCCUCCAGUUUGGCUUCUGAGCAGAGACUCCCUUCCUGUCAAGUCUGAAACCCCCAUGGGUGAGGUCAGCUACUUGUCUCCUGAGUGGCCCCUGCCAUUCUAAAUGGAGGCAGAACAGCAGCAACUCUCGGUGUGCCUGUGUCUGUACAUAUGUAUGUAUAUAUGUCUGUAUAUAUGUAUGCAUGUUGAACUUGGAAAAAAAAAAUCUCUGGAGAUAGACAAGAAAACCCCUGUGUGUGGCAGAAAUCUGUCAUGUAUUUCCUCAGCCUGGGGGUACUAUGGAUUUGGGCUCCACGACAGGGUGACUGCAGAGGUGGUACUUAGUAUGAAUAACCCCUGUGUUGGGCUGGGCAUGUUAAGGCUGGAGGGGUGGGGAACGCUCAGUGCUGCCUUCUGUGUCCAAGUCCUGGCCCAGUCCAUGGUCAGUGUGGUCAUCUCAAGAUCCUUGGGUGAUAGAGACAGGGUCUGAGAGAGUUCUUUUAAGACCUCCCCCAGGCCUAGGCCUUGUAGUAGUCUGUGGAGUAGCUGGAGAGACUCCCACCCUGGUUCUCUGGGGUCUUCUCACAGUGUGAGAGAGAGUGGACCUUGGCAAACCCCAACUCAGGGCAACUCUAGAUUUGAGGCUGCUGGCACUGUGUUCCCCACUCUGCCCAGCCCCAGGCAGCCCCUCUCCCUGCUCCACCAGUCAGAGCUAGACUACGGCUCUCUUGGGACAGAGCCCUUGCAUGGAAGGGGUGGCCCAUUCUGCUAGAGACGGGGAUAUUGUAGGCUGGGAUUCAGGUGUGGUCAUGGACUUUAGAUCCCCAAGGUUCUGGCUUUAGGACAUGAGCCUCUUCUGUGGAGCAGACUCUCCAGGGUAACUGGCUGGCUAUCAUCUCUGACUGUAGGACUUGUGGCCAACUAGACUUGCAUCUCCUCCAGGAUGGUUAAACCCUUGAGUUUCCUUUGGGAUUUCCCCUUGAGCCUCCUGCCUCUGCCCUAAGCCAUUCAGUGUGUUCUUCCUCUCCUAUUCCAGAAACACAAUGGCCCGUUUCUGGCAGACAGUGCCAAGCACUCUGGUCAUAGAGGCAGAGUGGGUUUUUGCACACAGAGACAAGCACACUCACACAACCAGUGAAAAACCCUUUAAGUUAAAAUUAGCAACUAUUCUUGGAAGGUAAUUCCUGUGUGGAAAAGGAACAGAAACUUCUAGCUGUGGGUGAGGGCUAAAGUGGUAGGUAGCCAGCUUCUGCACUGAGUAGUAAGACAAGACCAAGACUCUGACUCCCACAUGGGGCAGAAGCCUUUCCAGUAUUUCCUAGAUCCAGGGGUACAUGCAGGACUGGAGCCAGGCUCCCUCUAUCCAGUUGGUAAAACUGAAGCCAGACUUCUUUUCCUGUGAAAAAAGGGGUGAAAAGACUCCCUGCAUCUCCUGGGAUUGCGAUUGGAAACAGGAUGCUUGUCUGCAGCAGUGGAAGGACUUGGAUACCCAGUGACUGGCAACUAGGCUGCCACUCAGCACCAGCUCUGGGACUAGAGUAAGGUUAUCCAACAGUACCACAGUCCCGAGAGCUAACGAAACGUGUGCUUCUGAUUUUAUGACCCUGGAUGUUGUCCUGUAAGGAAAAACAGAAAGUACCAUGCAUCGUGAACACUCAAACAAAAAUUACAAAAUACAUGAGAACAUCCAUGUCUUAAAGAAUGACCAGUAACCCAAGUGGGAGGAUUUAUACCCAAGGAAACUGAAAUAGUAACAGCCUAAAAGGCUUUAAAAAUGAGCAUUUGUUUUUGCAUCAGAGAGAUAAAAGAGGGUCUGGUACCCUUAAGAACAAAGAUUAGACAUAAGAAAGAACCGAUUAGAAAUCUUGGAAAGAAAGAAUAUAGCUCUUAAAACAAGAAACUUCGUAGAGAGCUAAGUAUUAACUUAAAGUCCAAGAAAGGGUUAGUAAAUGGGAAGUUAGAGCUGAGACGGUCACAUAGAAGGUGGCAGUGAGAGAGAAAGAUGGCAAGAUGGAAGGUGGCUUGAGAACCUUGCCAUACUGAUACAUGUUCUGUGGAUGACAGGAGUUCCAAGAAAAGGAAACCAGAGAAAGAAGGUAUUUGAAGAAAGAAUGGCCAACCACUUCUUUUUUUUUUUCUUAAGCAAUAAGAUACUUUGAAAGAGACUACAUUCCUAUAACUUGAAUUACUGUAUAUUGUUAUAAUUGUUUUCUCAGUUACUGUUAACUUGUUACUAUGCCUAAUUUAUAAAUUAAAUUUUAUCAUAGGUAUUUAUGUGUAAGAGAAAACAGUAUAUAUAAGGUUCAGUACUCGACACCAUUUCAGGCAUCCACUGGGGGCCUUGGCACAUGCCCCCCAUGGAUAAGGAAUGACUAUAUAGCACUAUAAUGUAUUAUGGCAAUUAAAAUCCUUGUAUCUGUGAAUUAGACAAAGGUGAAGAAACAAUUAGUGAAUGGGAAACUAGAUCUGAAGUUUUCCAAAAUGCAGCCCAGCAAGAUAAACAGAUCAGUAAUGUAAAGCAAGAGAUUGAGAGACGUGGAGAAUAGAAUGAAAAGAUCCAACAUAAAGUGAUGGAGUUCCUGCUGGG